rnacentral:rRNA from 1 species
AUGGUGGCCUUGAAGGGCUUGGCCGUCCGCGACAACAAUCUCGAAGGCGAGCUUCCCGCUACCAUCACAUCGCUCAGGAAUCUCCAAUACCUCGCCCUGUCUGACAACAACUUCACCGGCACCAUACCGCCGGACCUUGGCAAGGGGCUAAACUUAACCGUCGUGAGCUUGGGGCACAACAGCUUCUCCGGCGAGCUGCCGCAGAGUCUAUGUGACGGUCUCAAGCUGCAAAACUUCACGGCACACCGCAACAACUUCAGCGGCAGGCUGCCAUCGUGCCUCAAAAAUUGCACGGCGCUGCUGCGGGUGCUGCUGGAAGGCAACCAAUUCACCGGCGACAUCUCCGAGGUGUUUGGUGUCCAUCCCAACUUGGAAUACCUCGAUGUCUCGGGGAAUCAGCUGACAGGCAACUUAUCAUCGUCUGAUUGGUCACAGUGCACCAAUCUUACACGCUUACACAUGAACGAUAAUCGAAUAUCUGGCAACAUUCAUGAAACCUUCUGCGGAUUGACAUCUCUCCAGGAUCUGGACCUAUCAAAUAACCAACUCACCGGGGAGCUCCCAAAUUGCUGGUGGGAAUUCAAACUUAUGGUUGCUAUGGAUUUGUCCAAGAAUAGAUUUUCAGGUGAGCUUCCUAUAUCAACGAGCCUGGGCCUCAAACUCCAGUCCCUUGGUCUUGCUAACAAUAACUUUCUUGGAGUUUUUCCAUCCGUAAUUGAAACCUGCAGAUCACUCGUCAUCCUAGAUCUUGGGAACAACAUGUUCUUGGGUGAUAUCCCCUCUUGGGUUGGAACGAGUGUUCCUCUUCUAACAGUUCUGAGCCUCCCAUCCAACAACUUCAGUGGUGUCGUUCCACCCGAGUUAUCCCAACUUUCUAAUCUGCAAGUCAUGGACCUGUCCAACAACUCCUUCUCAGGUGAGCUCCACAUGGACAUGCCAAACCACAAUUGCUCCCUUGAGUCGUUUCAUAUUGCAGGCAAUGGCUUCAUGGGCGCCUUCCCGCCGUUCCUCCAAGGCUGCAUCUCCCUGUCCACCCUGGACAUCGGGAACAACCAGUUCUUUGGUGGUAUCCCUACAUGGAUUGGGAGUCAGCUUCCAUCACUGAAAAUCCUCAGACUUAGAUCAAACAAUUUCACCGGAGAAAUCCCCACGGACUUAUCAAGUCUUUUGCAACUCCAGCUGCUCGAUAUGGCCAACAAUAGCUUGACAGGAUCAAUUCCGGUAGCCUUCGGAAACUUGAACUCCAUGAGGCAUAAUCUUCCCCCAUCUGUCCAACCAAUUCCGGUCCUCACUGGAACAAGUCACCUGUAUACAAGAAGGGCCGUGAACAAACUUUUCAGAAAAGCAUCGGGUUAA